rfam:Clostridium sp. CAG:914 genomic scaffold, scf75
UAUAAUAUCUUAUCCAAUCUAAGUUAUACAAUUGUAAUAGAGAAAGAAAACUCUAAGAUAAGAGACUAAAACUAAAUACUGAUAAUAUUUAG